rnacentral:rRNA from 1 species
GACGGAGGAUGCAAGUGUUAUCCGGAAUCACUGGGCGUAAAGCGUCUGUAGGUUGUCAAAUAAGUCAACUGUUAAAUCUUGAGGCUCAACUUCAAAAAUCGCAGUCGAAACUAUUAGACUAGAGUAUAGUAGGGGUAAAGGGAAUUUCCAGUGGAGCGGUGAAAUGCGUAGAGAUUGGAAAGAACACCGAUGGCGAAGGCACUUUACUGGGCUAUUACUGACACUCAGAGACGAAAGCUAGGGUAGCAAAUGGGGAU